CUACGGGAGGCAGCAGUAGGGAAUCUUCCACAAUGGGCGAAAGCCUGAUGGAGCAACGCCGCGUGAGUGAAGAAGGAUUUCGGUUCGUAAAACUCUGUUGUAAGGGAAGAACAAGUACAGUAGUAACUGGCUGUACCUUGACGGUACCUUAUUAGAAAGCCACGGCUAACUACGUGCCAGCAGCCGCGGUAAUACGUAGGUGGCAAGCGUUGUCCGAAAUUAUUGGGCGUAAAGCGCGCGCAGGUGGUUUCUUAAGUCUGAUGUGAAAGCCCACGGCUCAACCGUGGAGGGUCAUUGGAAACUGGGAGACUUGAGUGCAGAAGAGGAUAGUGGAAUUCCAAGUGUAGCGGUGAAAUGCGUAGAGAUUUGGAGGAACACCAGUGGCGAAGGCGACUAUCUGGUCUGUAACUGACACUGAGGCGCGAAAGCGUGGGGAGCAAACAGGAUUAGAUACCCUGGUAGUCCACGCCGUAAACGAUGAGUGCUAAGUGUUAGGGGGUUUCCGCCCCUUAGUGCUGCAGCUAACGCAUUAAGCACUCCGCCUGGGGAGUACGGUCGCAAGACUGAAACUCAAAGGAAUUGACG
rnacentral:rRNA from 1 species